rnacentral:rRNA from 1 species
AACGAACGCUGGCGGCAUGCCUAACACAUGCAAGUCGAACGAGACCUUCGGGUCUAGUGGCGCACGGGUGCGUAACGCGUGGGAACCUGCCUUUAGGUUUGGAAUAACUCCCCGAAAGGGGUGCUAAUACCGGAUAAUGUCUUCGGACCAAAGAUUUAUGGCCUUUGGAUGGGCCCGCGUUGGAUUAGCUAGUUGGUAGGGUAAAAGCCUGCCAAGGCGACGAUCCAUAGCUGGUCUGAGAGAAUGAUCAGCCACACUGGGACUGAGACACGGCCCAGACUCCUACGGGAAGCAGCAGUGGGGAAUAUUGGACAAUGGGCGAAAGCCUGAUCCAGCAAUGCCGCGUGAGUGAUGAAGGCCUUAGGGUUGUAAAGCUCUUUUACCCGGGAUGAUAAUGACGGUACCGGGAGAAUAAGCUCCGGCUAACUCCGUG